rnacentral:misc_RNA from 1 species
GAUGAAGGAACGCAGCGAAAUGCGAUAAGUAGUGUGAAUUGCAGAAUUCAGUGAAUCAUCGAAUCUUUGAACGCACAUUGCGCCUCCUGGUAUUCCGGGAGGCAUGCCUGUUCGAGCGUCAUCAAAAACCUCAACCCAUGAUUUAUUGUGAGUUGGUUCUGCAUUGGACUCCUUGUGGGUCCUUUGCGAAAUUCAAUGGCGAAGAGCCACGCAACCAAAGCGUAGUAUAACUAUUUCGUUAUGGAAGCGUGGGUGCCUCUGCCGUAACCCCCAAUUUCUUAGUUUUUGACCUCGGAUCAGGUAGGGAUACCCGCUGAACUUAAGCAUAUCAAUAAGCGGAGGA